rnacentral:rRNA from 1 species
CAGUAGCCGCGGUAACACGUAUGUGGCAAGCGUUGUCCGGAAUUAUUGGGCGUAAAGGGCUCGCAGGCGGUUUCUUAAGUCUGAUGUGAAAGCCCCCGGCUCAACCGGGGAGGGUCAUUGGAAACUGGGAAACUUGAGUGCAGAAGAGGAGAGUGGAAUUCCACGUGUAGCGGUGAAAUGCGUAGAGAUGUGGAGGAACACCAGUGGCGAAGGCGACUCUCUGGUCUGUAACUGACGCUGAGGAGCGAAAGCGUGGGGAGCGAACAGGAUUAGAUACCCCGGUAGUCCCUGUCUCUUAUAC